AGUCAUUCAAAUAUAUAUCUAUAUAUCGGAGGAAUAUCUUUCCUCGGCUUAGAUUAGUUAAGUGUUACAAUAAUUAUGAUCAAAGAGAAAGAUCAAUCGAUACGCACCAGUCAUGACUGCAGAUCCAUUUGUUUUCGGAGGGGGGGGGGGUACUUCAGCGCCCUUUUUCUAAUUUGAAAAAAAAUUUUUUUUUAGUUUUCAUUUUCAUGUUUGUGCAGUGGAUAAGUAAUAGAAUAAGUGUAAAAAAAAUUUGAAAGCAUUACGCGUUCCAGAUGCCAUAAGGGCGUAUACCGGCAAAAGGUCCCGGUGAAAAGCCAUAAGGGCGU